rnacentral:rRNA from 1 species
UACGUAGGGUGCAAGCGUUGUCCGGAAUUAUUGGGCGUAAAGAGCUUGUAGGCGGUUUGUCGCGUCUGCUGUGAAAUUUCGGGGCUCAACCCCCGAACUUGCAGUGGGUACGGGCAGACUAGAGUGUGGUAGGGGAGACUGGAAUUCCUGGUGUAGCGGUGAAAUGCGCAGAUAUCAGGAGGAACACCGAUGGCGAAGGCAGGUCUCUGGGCAUUAACUGACGCUGAGGAGCGAAAGCAUGGGGAGCGAACAGG